rnacentral:lncRNA from 1 species
UUUCUUGUAUUUAUCCAUAUUCCCAACGUAAUCUAUCCUUCUCAACUACAGAAGGUAAAUCAAUUCCUUUUUAUACAAUACAGCUCUUUAAAUCUUGUAAGAGAGCCAUAAUGUUACUCCUAUGGCUUUUUUCCCCCCUGGGUUAAAUAUCCCCAGGAACUUUCUUCAUUUUUCCUAAGAGUAUUUCUCUAAAUCCUUUGUUGUCCUGCUCACUCCCCUCUCCUUGAUCUCCAGCUUAUUAAUGCCCUCUUUCUUUCUUUCUUUUUUAUUUUUAUUUGAGAGAGGGAUAGAGAGCAAGUGGGGGAGGGACAGACAGAGAGAGAGACAGAAUUCCAAGCAGGCUCUGUGCUGUCAGCACAGAGCCCCACUGAGGGCUUGAUCUCACCAACUGUGAGAUCAUGACCUGAGCCGAAAUCAAGAGUCGGACACUCAAUCAACUGAGCCACCCAGGUGCCCCACGCCUUUCUUGACUUGAUGAAAUCAGGACUGAGGAAAACGCAGGAUUUGCAUACCACCGCCGCCACUGCACUGGGCAAUUUUCAACAGAGGAAAUCCAAAGUGGGACUGAGAGAGUACAGCUUCUGGAAUGAGUACACUCCCUCACAAAGUGACCACUGCAAAGGGAUAACACUCCUUGUGAUGGAUAACAAUAUAUCUACUAAGGCACAAGAGGUUGGGGCAUAAAAGUGGAAAGGGAUUGUGUUUCCAUGGCUCCUUGAGGUUCAGUGUGAUCUUGUGACUCCUUUUGCCAACAAAAUGUGAGUAGAGGUGCCAUGUGAUGUUUUGGGACUGAAGUACUUCAUUACCCAUGUGAGAGUGCCCAGUGCACUCCUUUCCUGCUUUGUGACUGGGUGCUAUGAGUCUGCAAACUGGUCCCCCAUACAUCGAGAGCAAGGAAAGAUGAUGAGGAAGACCACUCCAGAUUGGUAGGUGGAAGCUUGUUUUUUGUUUUUUGUUUUUUGUUUUAACUUUCUUUUGAGAAGGAAAGAGACUGUGCCUGCGAAGGCAAGUUGUGGAGGGGCAGAGAGAGGGAAGGAAUCCUGGGCAAGCUCCUCAUGGUCAGUGUAGGGCCACAUGCGGGGGCUCGAAUCCAGGAACCAUGAGAUCAUGACCUGAGCUGAAGUGGGACGCUUAACUGACUAAGCCACCCAGGUGC